rnacentral:sRNA from 1 species
UAGCUUGGCAAUAAGCUUAAUUUAUUGU